GAUGAACGCUGGCGGCGUGCCUAAUACAUGCAAGUCGAGCGAACAGACGAGGAGCUUGCUUCUCUGACGUUAGCGGCGGACGGGUGAGUAACACGUGGAUAACCUACCUAUAAGACUGGGAUAACUUCGGGAAACCGGAGCUAAUACCGGAUAAUAUAUUGAACCGCAUGGUUCAAUAGUGAAAGACGGUUUUGCUGUCACUUAUAGAUGGAUCCGCGCCGCAUUAGCUAGUUGGUAAGGUAACGGCUUACCAAGGCAACGAUGCGUAGCCGACCUGAGAGGGUGAUCGGCCACACUGGAACUGAGACACGGUCCAGACUCCUACGGGAGGCAGCAGUAGGGAAUCUUCCGCAAUGGGCGAAAGCCUGACGGAGCAACGCCGCGUGAGUGAUGAAGGUCUUCGGAUCGUAAAACUCUGUUAUUAGGGAAGAACAAAUGUGUUAGUAACUAUGCACGUCUUGACGGUACCUAAUCAGAAAGCCACGGCUAACUACGUG
rnacentral:rRNA from 1 species